ensembl:snoRNA
AUCCUUUUGUACUUCAUAAGCAUGAUGACUGGGUUUUCACAUGCAUGUGCGAGAUGUGCCUCCCUCAAACCUUGUUACAAUGUCAGCACCUUACCCAUCUGACA